rnacentral:rRNA from 1 species
AACGAACGCUGGCGGCAUGCCUAACACAUGCCAGUCGAACGAGACCUUCGGGUCUAGUGGCGCACGGGUGCGUAACGCGUGGGAACCUGCCCUUAGGUUCGGAAUAACUCCCCGAAAGGGGUGCUAAUACCGGAUAAUGUCUUCGGACCAAAGAUUUAUCGCCUUUGGAUGGGCCCGCGUUGGAUUAGCUAGUUGGUAGGGUAAAAGCCUACCAAGGCGACGAUCCAUAGCUGGUCUGAGAGGAUGAUCAGCCACACUGGGACUGAGACACGGCCCAGACUCCUACGGGGGGCGGAAGUGGGAAAUAUUGGAAAAGGGGCGAAAGACUGAGCCAGCAAGGCCGCGUGAGUGAUGAAGGCCUUAGGGUUGUAAAGCUCUUUUACCCGGGAGGAUAAUGACAGAACCGGGAGAAUAAGCUCGGGCAAACUCCG